AUGGCGUCCUCCGUCGCCGGCGGGUUGCCGUCGAGGUCCGCCAUCGUGGCCGACACGACCAGCGGGCACCACCUUCUCACCAUCCACGGCUACUCCCGCACCAAGGACAUACCCACCGGAGAGCGCGUCAAGUCUCACCCUUUCAUCAUCGGCGGCCAUCGCUGGCGGAUCGACUACUACCCCGGCGGCGUGCGCCCGGAGGUCGCGGACUACGUGUCCCUCUCCCUGAUACUAGAGGAAGAUGGCCCGGCGCCGGUGAAGGCCCAGUACGACAUCUGCCUCGUUACCAAGGAGGAGGAGGCGGAGCAAGCCGCGUCGAUGGCGUCGGCACCGGUCGACGAGUUCGCUCCCCGGAAGGGCUGGGAGUACUCCAAGUUCGUCAGGAGGGUGGAGCUGGAGAGCUCAAAGUAUCUCACCAACGAUUCGUUCACCGUCCGGUGCGAUAUCGUUGUCGUCCAUGGUUACCGCGCCGCGGCCGGCAUGGCGGCCUUGGUCUCUGUGCCCCCAUGUGACCUGCGUGAGAACCUUGGCAGGCUCCUCGACACCGGGAUGGGCGCCGACGUGGUGUUUGAGGUCGGCGGCGAGACCGUCGCGGCACACCGGUGCGUGCUCGCGGCCUGCUCUCCGGUGUUUGCCGCCCAACUCUUUGGACCCAUGAAGGAGGGUAAUGCCGGCGUCGUGCGCGUGGAAGACAUGGACGCGGAGGUGUUCAAGGCGUUGCUCCGUUUCACAUACGCCGGCUUGCUGCCGGAGACGUUCAAGGAAGACGCAGUCGUAUGCCAGCAUCUGCUCGUUGCUGCGGACAGGUAUGGCAUGGGGCGGCUAAAGCUGAUCUGCGAGCAGAAGCUGUGCGAGUACAUCGACAUCGGCACGGCAGCAACCAUCCUGACGCUGGCCGAGCAGCACCGCUGUGAGGGGCUGAAGAAGGCCUGCUUCGAUUUUCUCGCCGCUCCACCAAAUCUGAGGGAAGUCGUGGCCACCGACGGCUUCCAGCAUCUGAUCGCGAGCUGCCCUUCUCUUAUGGUCGAGCUCAUGGCUAUGUCCCCUACACAUUAG
rnacentral:rRNA from 1 species